GCCUUGUAGGAUGAUGAUGUGAUCGCAUAUCUUCUCGCUGAUUUUGGCCCUAACUAUGAUCCCUUCGUCACCUCGAUGACUACCAAGAGUGAAGCCCUCACACUCGAUGAUGUGUUUGUAAUCUAAUAGUGUUUGAAGC